CUGCCAAACUGUCUUCUCUCGGACCUUCUGAUGGAAGUGGUUCUCCAGGAAGGUGACAAAGCGUACUCAUCACUCACUCUAGUGUGUACCACCUUCAGAGACACAAUGUCCACUGUGUCUUUCAGAAGAGGGGCCCACUUUCGCUGGCUUGAGAGUGUUGCUACAUGGAGUUUGUUCUCUGCUUCAUACAAGCAGGAUUUCAACGUCAUGUACACCAUUGACACCUGCCGUGGAUGCUUGGAGCCUUACAAAAACUGCAAACCAGGAUAUGUUGGGAAAGGUAAAAGAGGAGAAUUGCAGGGCAUCUACUCUGAUGACCAACAUCCAGGCUAUUGCAGUCCCUUCUGCAACCAGAUAUCAUAGUUUGGUUUUCCCGGACGC